rnacentral:rRNA from 1 species
CCUACGGGAGGCUGCAGUGGGGAAUAUUGCACAAUGGGGGAAACCCUGAUGCAGCGACGCCGCGUGAGUGAAGAAGUAAUUCGUUAUGUACAGCUCUAUCAGCAGGGAAGAAAAUGACGGUACCUGAGUAAGAAGCCCCGGCUAACUACGUGCCAGCAGCCGCGGUAAUACGUAGGGGGCACGAGUUAUCCGGAUUUACUGGGUGGAAAGGGAGCGUAGACGGCAGUGCAAGUCUGGAGUGAAAGGCGGGGGCUCAACCCCCGGACUGCUCUGGAAACUGUACGGCUGGAGUGCAGGAGAGGUAAGUGGAAUUGCUAGUGUAGCGGUGAAAUGCGUAGAUAUUAGGAGGAACACCAGUGGCGAAGGCGGCUUACUGGACUGUAACUGACGUUGAGGCUCGAAAGCGUGGGGAGCAAACAGGAUUAGAUACCCUUGUAGUC